GAUGAAGAACGUAGUGAAAUGCGAUAAGUAAUGCGAAUUGCAGAAUCCGUGAGUCAUCGAAUCUUUGAACGCACAUUGCGCCCGCCAGCAUUCUGGCGGGCAUGCCUGUUCGAGCGUCAUUUCAACCCUCGACCUCCCCUUGGGGAGGUCGGCGUUGGGGACCGGCAGCACACCGCCGGCCCUGAAAUGGAGUGGCGGCCCGUCUGCGGCGACCUCUGCGUAGUAAUACAGCUCGCACCGGAACCCCGACGCGGCCACGCCGUAAAACACCCAACUUCUGAACGUUGACCUCGAAUCAGGUAGGACUACCCGCUGAACUUAAGCAUAUCAAUAAGCGGAGGA
rnacentral:misc_RNA from 1 species